rnacentral:rRNA from 1 species
AAAGGGUCCGUAGGCGGUUUAAUAAGUCAGUGGUGAAAGCCCAUCGCUCAACGGUGGAACGGCCAUUGAUACUGUUAAACUUGAAUUAUUAGGAAGUAACUAGAAUAUGUAGUGUAGCGGUGAAAUGCUUAGAGAUUACAUGGAAUACCAAUUGCGAAGGCAGGUUACUACUAAUGGAUUGACGCUGAUGGACGAAAGCGUGGGUAGCGAACAGGAUUAGAUACCCUUGU